UACGAAGGGGGCUAGCGUUGUUCGGAAUCACUGGGCGUAAAGCGCACGUAGGCGGAUCCUUAAGUCAGGGGUGAAAUCCCGAGGCUCAAUCUCGGAACUGCCUUUGAUACUGGGAAUCUUGAGUCCGGGAGAGGUGAGUGGAAUUGCGAGUGUAGAGGUGAAAUUCGUAGAUAUUCGCAAGAACACCAGUGGCGAAGGCGGCUCACUGGCCCGGUACUGACGCUGAGGUGCGAAAGCGUGGGGAGCAA
rnacentral:rRNA from 1 species